CACGUAGGGCGCGAGCGUUGUCCGGAAUUAUUGGGCGUAAAGAGCGCGCAGGCGGUCGUCCAAGUCGCGUGUGAAAGCCCCCGGCUCAACUGGGGAGGGUCACGCGAUACUGGUCGACUCGAAGGCAGGAGAGGGUAGUGGAAUUCCCGGUGUAGUGGUGAAAUGCGUAGAUAUCGGGAGGAACACCAGUGGCGAAGGCGGGU
rnacentral:rRNA from 1 species